rnacentral:rRNA from 1 species
UACGUAGGGGGCAAGCGUUGUCCGGAUUUAUUGGGCGUAAAGAGCGUGUAGGCGGCCAUGUAGGUCCGUUGUGAAAACUCGAGGCUCAACCUCGAGACGCCGAUGGAAACCAUGUGGCUAGAGUCCGGAAGAGGAGAGUGGAAUUCCUGGUGUAGCGGUGAAAUGCGCAGAUAUCAGGAGGAACACCGAUUGCGAAGGCAGCUCGCUGGGACGUCACUGACGCUGAGACGCGAAAGCGUGGGGAGCAAACAGG